AGGACUGUAGUUAAAAAUAACAUUUAAUUUGCAAUUAAAAAGUAUUGGAAUAAUCAAUCUGUCUU
rnacentral:tRNA from 1 species